GCCAACGGCCAUACCACGUUGAACACACCAGUUCUCGUUCCGAUCACUGAAGUUAAGCAACGUCGGGCCCGGUUAGUACUUGGAUGGGUGACCGCCUGGGAACCCCGGGUGCUGUUGGUA
rnacentral:rRNA from 1 species